UACGAAGGGGCUAGCGUUGUUCGGAUUUACUGGGCGUAAAGCGCACGUAGGCGGAUCGAUCAGUCAGGGGUGAAUCCCAGAGCUCAACUCUGGAACUGCCUUUGAUACUGUCGAUCUGGAGUAUGGAAGAGGUGAGUGGAAUUCCGAGUGUAGAGGUGAAAUUCGUAGAUAUUCGGAGGAACACCAGUGGCGAAGGUGGCUCACUGGUCCAUUACUGACGCUGAGGUGCGAAAGCGUGGGAGCAAACAGGAUUGAG
rnacentral:rRNA from 1 species